rnacentral:rRNA from 1 species
UACGGAGGGUGCAAGCGUUAUCCGGAUUCACUGGGUUUAAAGGGUGCGUAGGCGGGUUGGUAAGUCCGUGGUGAAAUCUCCAAGCUUAACUUGGAAACUGCCGUGGAUACUAUCAAUCUUGAAUAUAGUGGAAGUGAGCGGAAUAUGUCAUGUAGCGGUGAAAUGCUUAGAUAUGACAUAGAACACCCAUUGCGAAGGCAGCUCGCUACACUAUUAUUGACGCUGGGGGCACGAAAGCGUGGGGGAUCAAACAGG